rnacentral:rRNA from 1 species
GUCAUAUGCUUGUCUCAAAGAUUAAGCCAUGCAUGUCUCAGUACAAGCCAAAUUAAGGUGAAACCGCGAAAGGCUCAUUAAAUCAGUUAUGGUUCCUUAGAUCGUACCCACAAUUACUUGGAUAACUGUGGUAAUUCUAGAGCUAAUACAUGCAAACAGAGCUCCGACCGGAGACGGAAGGAGUGCUUUUAUUAGAUCAAAACCAAUCGGUGGCGGGUUCACGCUCGUCAUCGUACAACUUGGUGACUCUGAAUAACUUUAUGCUGAUCGCACGGUCAUCGCACCGGCGACGCAUCUUUCAAAUGUCUGCCUUAUCAACUGUCGAUGGUAGGUUCUGCGCCUACCAUGGUUGUAACGGGUAACGGGGAAUCAGGGUUCGAUUCCGGAGAGGGAGCCUGAGAAACGGCUACCACAUCCAAGGAAGGCAGCAGGCGCGCAAAUUACCCACUCCCGGCACGGGGAGGUAGUGACGAAAAAUAACGAUACGGGACUCAUCCGAGGCCCCGUAAUCGGAAUGAGUACACUCUAAACCCUUUAACGAGGAUCAAUUGGAGGGCAAGUCUGGUGCCAGCAGCCGCGG